rnacentral:rRNA from 1 species
UGCGUAGGCGGGCGUGUAAGUCAGGGGUGAAAGCCACCGGCCUAACCGGUGAACUGCCCUUGAUACUGCACAUCUUGAGUCCUGGAGAGGCUAUCGGAAUUCGUGGUGUAGCGGUGAAAUGCGUAAAUAUCACGAGGAACACCUGAUGCGUAGGCGGAUAGCUGGACAGGUACUGACGCUAAGGCACGAAAGCGUGGGGAACGAACA